AUCUGCCCCCAUGCCAUGAUUCACCAGCAAAGGGAAACCAAACCAAAUUCGCCGGUCACGCCGUGAACCAGGGACUAAAGGGCAACGCCAUGCCACAAGGAGCCGCAGCCGGGUCAGCUGCGCCUCCUCUUCCACCAGGAUACAUGCAGAAACCAGCGACCUCUGUUGUCUGUCCUCCUGGCCUUGAGUACC